UUGAAUAUUUUAAAAGCACAGUGACUAAUUGCUUAAAACACUAUAACCACAGUGGGGUAAAAGUGCUUUUUACCUCAAUUUAAUACAAGCCCAAUUCUUAUCUUACUAAGCCCACGAAUUACAUAUUCAGCAAGGAUUUUUAGAUUUUUAGGGUUAUAGUUUAUAAAUUCCUAUUAGGAUUUGGAUUGUUUUGAGUAGUAUAAAUAGAGGUUUAAGUUGAUGUAAUCAAACACAAUAUAAAUUAUUCAUUAUUAAAUAAACUUGUGAGGUUAUUCUCUACUUUUGGUUCUUUGAAGAAUUCCUAAGAAAUUAGUAGUUUCUUAGUUAUUUCUUUGAUAUUCAAUUUGACUUAUCAUACAACAAUUCAUAGUUGUGUGUGGCG
rnacentral:lncRNA from 1 species